AAAUAUACACGAUUGAUUGAGGAGAUGUUGGUGGUGGACGCUCAUUUUUACUUCAGAUGUUCCAUAUUUAUUUCUGAAUUCUCCUUUAUUACUUUUGUUGAGUGCCUUUCCACAUGUUUUCACUGUAAAUGUGGGUCCAAUAUUUCUAAUACACUAUAAGGCUCACCGGAUUAUAAAGCGCACUAUCAAUAAAUGUCUAUUUUCUGUUCUAUUUUCAUACAUAAGGCGCAACGGAUUAUAAGGCGCAUUUCAUGCAACACUAGUAAUUAGUAGUAGGAAUAGGGGUGUCGCCAAGUUUUUCUUAUAAAAACCUAGCUAAGAUAAACUAAGUAAACAAAAAUGUAAUGCUUAAAAAACUUUUCAGACGAGUUGAACAAGUCAAACGAGUGCUGGAUGUUAAUCUACACAGAUUUCUCUUCUGAAAACUGUUUAUUUGGAUCAGUAAAUCACUUCUGUUUAUUUACAGUAAGCUUAGAUUUCCACUAAAGCUGGGGAAUAAGCAUUAGCGGCGAACCGCUAGCAGUCAACAGCGCUACACUGAGGAACCCUGAGUGUUCUGGUAAGCCAGGACAAUAUUAGUAUUGUAUAGUAUUAGUAUACUAAUGCUGCUCCAGCAAUGCUAGCCGUAGUUAGCAGCAGGCUUGACUGGUAAAAAUAAUACAUAAGGUGCACCGGAUUAAUAGGCACACUGACGAUUUUUUGGGGGGAAAAUUAAAGGUGCUUCCUCCAGUACAUUUUGUUCUACACCUUCUUCAGUGUAUGCAGAUCAUUGGACAGCUAAACAUGCUUGGAGGAGAACACUAACUUUCUCCUGAGGAAUUCUAAAAUUUAGGGAUUGUAAUUAAGUAACUCCUUUUCUAUUAAUACUUAUCAUGCUAAAAGAACUGUCACUGAAGUGAGAGAAGCUUGUGGACUGAGGUAGAUAAGUAAUAUUACAGGGUUUUACACAAAUAUGGCUGUUAUAAAUAUGCAACAAUCAAUCAAUCAACCUUUAUUUCCACUUGGUAAAUACAUUGAUUCAAACCUCAUUUUCAGUGCAGCCGAGAAUUAACAAAAUUAAAGGGACUGACAAAUAAGUUUAAAUGAUAAAAACAAGCAAACUAUAUAAAAUGUAAUUAAAAAUAAAUAAAAUAUUUCAGAAUAAAAGGAUAUGCAGACAGGCUAAAAUGUAAAGAAAUAAAACAAAAAUAUAAAUAAUUAGAAUAAUAAAAUAUAAGCACAAUUAAAUAAUAAGGACCACAAUUAUAAAAAAAUAUAUGAAAACAUAAAAAUAAAAUGAUGAAAUAAAUGAAAUAAAAAGGUGAAAGGCCAAAAAUAAAACCAGAAAUAAAAAAUGAAAGGAUGAAAUUAGUAAAAAUAAAAUAAGUAAAAUAGUGCAUUAGCUGUGUUGUGGUCUAAAAUGGGAAGAAAAGUACAGUCAGUGGAGCAUCGCCAUGAUUUUGUAGCUGAUAUUUUAAAGCAAAAAUGCUACAUAUUGUUCUUUAAAAGGCACGGUCUGUUUAAAUCUGAGAUACAAGAAGAGUUUACAGCUUUAAACAGCCGUAAAUCUGUGAAGAGUCUAUAAAUCAGUGACAGGGGAGUCAAUCAGAUCUAUGUUUUGAUGAAUAGAGGGUCCUCCAGCUUGGCUGCAUCCAGGAGAAGUGUGAUGUGUGAGACAGUGACCUGCUCCUCCUCCUGCUGCUCUGCCUCAGUGAUGUAAAGCAGAUGUAUCUGCAGUGCUGAAUGUGGGGCAGAUGCAGUGGAGAGUUAUUGGAUGCACUACGGGGAAAAUCUCAUUUGGAUGUGCACAAGUGGUUCUUUUUUGUAAUUCGUGGCUAACCAGGUCAGCACUUGACUCUGCAGAGAACGGUUAAGCUUGAUGUGUAUGAGUGUAUGAGUGUGUGUGUGUGUGUAUGUGUGUGUGUUUAUCUGUAUCACGCUGACCUUAUUCCCUGAAAGAGAAGAUGUGGAGAAAUAGAUGUAGCAUGCUAAUGAGAAGGGGAUCUAAGCACGAGAGGGAAAGAGAGAAAAAUGACUGUUGAUAGAGUCCAGCCUUAUCUGCUCACUUAUACUCACUUAUACUUCCUUUACGUAUAAACAGGAAUAUGCUUUUUUACAUUGGCUUGGAAUUAAGCAAUGCAUCCACUAGAGGGCAUUUCAAAGUCAGAAAGUACUUUUUUAUUGCAGGUGUAUUACACUGAUUUUCAAUUGGUGCGCACCAAAACUUCAAGUGCUGCUUCUGCCAUAUUGUGUAAAAACUGCUUAAUUAUUAUUGUUUGUAUGAUUAUAGAUUGUAUAUAAUCGUCUGAUAAAUCAAAAAAAUAAAAUUGGUAGACAAUAGGUAUUGAGGAAAACAGGGGCCUACAUUCACCUAUCUAUUUCAAAGUCAAAAGGUAUUAGACAACCAUAACUGAUGUAUGGCGGAUAGAUUUAUUACAGUAUCAACUGAGAUUUGGCAUUGGCAUAAAGAAUUGGGCCAAAUGUGGUUUAUACUCAGUAACCGGAGUGCUGGCAGUAAUCAGUUAGUGCCGAUUGCCUUAUUAUACUGGGCAACCAGGGUGUUUUACUUGAACUAUUGGAUGGAUAUAUUGCCCUCACAAUCUCCAGUAGUACCGCUUCAUUUUGUCCGAAUUUAUUUAAUUUCGAAGAAUGUUCACAGAUACAUAGAAAACAAAUACAGAUUACGUACAGAAGGCUAUGUCUGUGCUAACAUUAUGCUAACACAUUGCAGAUGGGACAAUAAAAGAUUGUCCGAUUUUUCAUUGCAGGUGUAUUACACUGAUUUUCAAAUGGUGCGCACCAAAGCUUUGAAAGCUUAAUUAAUACAUUGUAGAAUCAUAGUUCUUAUGUCCGAUAAAUCUGAAAAAUAAACCUGGUAGAAAAUAGGUAUUGAGGAAAAACAGAGCUCUACAUGCAUCUAUCUAUACAUCCAA